rnacentral:rRNA from 1 species
GGGUUGUGAGGUUAAGCGACUAAGCGUACACGGUGGAUGCCCUGGCAGUCAGAGGCGAUGAAGGACGUGCUAAUCUGCGAUAAGCGUCGGUAAGGUGAUAUGAACCGUUAUAACCGGCGAUUUCCGAAUGGGGAAACCCAGUGUGUUUCGACACACUAUCAUUAACUGAAUCCAUAGGUUAAUGAGGCGAACCGGGGGAACUGAAACAUCUAAGUACCCCGAGGAAAAGAAAUCAACCGAGAUUCCCCCAGUAGCGGCGAGCGAACGGGGAGCAGCCCAGAGCCUGAAUCAGUGUGUGUGUUAGUGGAAGCGUCUGGAAAGGCGCGCGAUACAGGGUGACAGCCCCGUACACAAAAAUGCACAUGCUGUGAGCUCGAUGAGUAGGGCGGGACACGUGGUAUCCUGUCUGAAUAUGGGGGGACCAUCCUCCAAGGCUAAAUACUCCUGACUGACCGAUAGUGAACCAGUACCGUGAGGGAAAGGCGAAAAGAACCCCGGCGAGGGGAGUGAAAAAGAACCUGAAACCGUGUACGUACAAGCAGUGGGAGCACGCUUAGGCGUGUGACUGCGUACCUUUUGUAUAAUGGGUCAGCGACUUAUAUUCUGUAGCAAGGUUAACCGAAUAGGGGAGCCGAAGGGAAACCGAGUCUUAACUGGGCGUUAAGUUGCAGGGUAUAGACCCGAAACCCGGUGAUCUAGCCAUGGGCAGGUUGAAGGUUGGGUAACACUAACUGGAGGACCGAACCGACUAAUGUUGAAAAAUUAGCGGAUGACUUGUGGCUGGGGGUGAAAGGCCAAUCAAACCGGGAGAUAGCUGGUUCUCCCCGAAAGCUAUUUAGGUAGCGCCUCGUGAAUUCAUCUCCGGGGGUAGAGCACUGUUUCGGCAAGGGGGUCAUCCCGACUUACCAACCCGAUGCAAACUGCGAAUACCGGAGAAUGUUAUCACGGGAGACACACGGCGGGUGCUAACGUCCGUCGUGAAGAGGGAAACAACCCAGACCGCCAGCUAAGGUCCCAAAGUCAUGGUUAAGUGGGAAACGAUGUGGGAAGGCCCAGACAGCCAGGAUGUUGGCUUAGAAGCAGCCAUCAUUUAAAGAAAGCGUAAUAGCUCACUGGUCGAGUCGGCCUGCGCGGAAGAUGUAACGGGGCUAAACCAUGCACCGAAGCUGCGGCAGCGACGCUUAUGCGUUGUUGGGUAGGGGAGCGUUCUGUAAGCCUGCGAAGGUGUGCUGUGAGGCACGCUGGAGGUAUCAGAAGUGCGAAUGCUGACAUAAGUAACGAUAAAGCGGGUGAAAAGCCCGCUCGCCGGAAGACCAAGGGUUCCUGUCCAACGUUAAUCGGGGCAGGGUGAGUCGACCCCUAAGGCGAGGCCGAAAGGCGUAGUCGAUGGGAAACAGGUUAAUAUUCCUGUACUUGGUGUUACUGCGAAGGGGGGACGGAGAAGGCUAUGUUGGCCGGGCGACGGUUGUCCCGGUUUAAGCGUGUAGGCUGGUUUUCCAGGCAAAUCCGGAAAAUCAAGGCUGAGGCGUGAUGACGAGGCACUACGGUGCUGAAGCAACAAAUGCCCUGCUUCCAGGAAAAGCCUCUAAGCAUCAGGUAACAUCAAAUCGUACCCCAAACCGACACAGGUGGUCAGGUAGAGAAUACCAAGGCGCUUGAGAGAACUCGGGUGAAGGAACUAGGCAAAAUGGUGCCGUAACUUCGGGAGAAGGCACGCUGAUAUGUAGGUGAAGUCCCUCGCGGAUGGAGCUGAAAUCAGUCGAAGAUACCAGCUGGCUGCAACUGUUUAUUAAAAACACAGCACUGUGCAAACACGAAAGUGGACGUAUACGGUGUGACGCCUGCCCGGUGCCGGAAGGUUAAUUGAUGGGGUUAGCGCAAGCGAAGCUCUUGAUCGAAGCCCCGGUAAACGGCGGCCGUAACUAUAACGGUCCUAAGGUAGCGAAAUUCCUUGUCGGGUAAGUUCCGACCUGCACGAAUGGCGUAAUGAUGGCCAGGCUGUCUCCACCCGAGACUCAGUGAAAUUGAACUCGCUGUGAAGAUGCAGUGUACCCGCGGCAAGACGGAAAGACCCCGUGAACCUUUACUAUAGCUUGACACUGAACAUUGAGCCUUGAUGUGUAGGAUAGGUGGGAGGCUUUGAAGUGUGGACGCCAGUCUGCAUGGAGCCGACCUUGAAAUACCACCCUUUAAUGUUUGAUGUUCUAACGUGGACCCGUAAUCCGGGUUGCGGACAGUGUCUGGUGGGUAGUUUGACUGGGGCGGUCUCCUCCUAAAGAGUAACGGAGGAGCACGAAGGUUGGCUAAUCCUGGUCGGACAUCAGGAGGUUAGUGCAAUGGCAUAAGCCAGCUUGACUGCGAGCGUGACGGCGCGAGCAGGUGCGAAAGCAGGUCAUAGUGAUCCGGUGGUUCUGAAUGGAAGGGCCAUCGCUCAACGGAUAAAAGGUACUCCGGGGAUAACAGGCUGAUACCGCCCAAGAGUUCAUAUCGACGGCGGUGUUUGGCACCUCGAUGUCGGCUCAUCACAUCCUGGGGCUGAAGUAGGUCCCAAGGGUAUGGCUGUUCGCCAUUUAAAGUGGUACGCGAGCUGGGUUUAGAACGUCGUGAGACAGUUCGGUCCCUAUCUGCCGUGGGCGCUGGAGAACUGAGGGGGGCUGCUCCUAGUACGAGAGGACCGGAGUGGACGCAUCACUGGUGUUCGGGUUGUCAUGCCAAUGGCACUGCCCGGUAGCUAAAUGCGGAAGAGAUAAGUGCUGAAAGCAUCUAAGCACGAAACUUGCCCCGAGAUGAGUUCUCCCUGACUCCUUGAGAGUCCUGAAGGAACGUUGAAGACGACGACGUUGAUAGGCCGGGUGUGUAAGCGCAGCGAUGCGUUGAGCUAACCGGUACUAAUGAACCGUGAGGCUUAACCUUACAACGCCGAAG